rnacentral:rRNA from 1 species
CCUACGGGAGGCAGCAGUGGGGGAUAUUGCACAAUGGGGGGAACCCUGAUGCAGCGACGCCGCGUGUGGGAAGACGGUCCUCUGGAUUGUAAACCACUGUCCCCAGGGACGAAAAUGACGGUACCUGGGGAGGAAGCUCCGGCUAACUACGUGCAAGCAGCCGCGGUAAUACGUAGGGAGCGAGGGUUGUCCGGAAUUACUUGGUGAAAAGGGAGCGUAGGCGGGGAUGCAAGUUGGGUGUCAAAACUACCGGCUCAACUGGUAGUCGCACCCAAAACUGCAGCUCUUGAGUGAAGUAGAGGCAGGCGGAAUACCUAGUGUAGCGGUGAAAUGCGUAGAUAUUAGGAGGAACACCAGUGGCGAAGGCGGCCUGCUGGGCUUUUACUGACGCUGAGGCUCGAAAGUGUGGGGAGCAAACAGGAUUAGAUACCCGUGUAGUC